UCAUAGGUGUUGAUGGGAAGAGUAAUAUAUUAUUUCCAUUUAGAGAGAGAAGAUCAUGGCUGAAAAUCUUCUUAUGAGAAAGAUAUAUGAAAACUACCCCUGAACCGAAUCCAACUGAAGGAUUUCCGCUUAUUAGCGUUAUUUAUAUAUGAGAAGUAAUUAGGGUGGAACCACGAAAUUUAACCUUUCGUCCCUACA
rnacentral:ncRNA from 1 species